rnacentral:rRNA from 1 species
GAUGAACGCUGGCGGCGUGCCUAAUACAUGCAAGUCGAGCGAACAGACGAGGAGCUUGCUCCUCUGACGUUAGCGGCGGACGGGUGAGUAACACGUGGAUAACCUACCUAUAAGACUGGGAUAACUUCGGGAAACCGGAGCUAAUACCGGAUAAUAUAUUGAACCGCAUGGUUCAAUAGUGAAAGACGGUUUUGCUGUCACUUCUAGAUGGAUCCGCGCCGCAUUAGCUAGUUGGUAGGGUAACGGCUUACCAAGGCAACCAUGCGUUGCCGACGGGUGAGGCGGCUCGCCGACAUGGGAGCUUGACCGGCCACAAUGCUCCUCGGGGACGGCCCAGGGUGAUACGGGCGGAAGCGGUGGGAAACCUGACGCAAAGGGCGGACGCGAGAAGCAAGGGCGUCGGUUUCGGAAAACUGGUUUAUGAGAAAAAAACAACUUUCUAAUAUACUAUGCCGUGAUUGACGGUAAUUAAUAAAAAAGCCACGGCUAACUACGUG